GACAGAGGGUGCAAGCGUUGUCCGGAAUUAUUGGGCGUAAAACGUCUGUAGGCGGUUUAUUAAGUCUAAAGUUAAAUAGUUGAGCUCAACUCAAUCUACGCUUUGGAUACUGAUAGACUAGAGUGCGUUAGGGGUUAUUGGAAUUCCCGGUGUAGUGGUGAAAUACGUAGAUAUCGGGAGGAACUCCAGUGGCGAAAGCGAAUAACUGGGGCGUAACUGACGCUGAGAGACGAAAGCGUGGGGAGCAAAAAGG
rnacentral:rRNA from 1 species